AACUCGCUUAUCUAUCGACUUCGCAAUAGUCGUGAUUAGAACAAGUACUGUACAUCACAGAUUCGAGAUGAAGACUUUGUUUUUUGUACUUUUCUUUGCCAUCUUGGCUACAAUCGCUUUUGCUGGAUUAUAUCACGGACAUUUUUAUAAGCCUUACUAUUAUGGCUAUCCCUAUUAUCGCCAUCACUACUACGGUUAUCCUUAUUACGGAUAUAAGAACUAUUUUGGAUUUGGUUAUCCCUUUUACGGAUAUUAUAAAAAGCAUUGGUGGUAAUUAUUGUCUACACGCUUACUUCUAAGGAUGCAACUGUAUUAACGAAUUUUUCAACAAGACCUCUUUAUCUACAAAUUAUCAUUCAAAUUUUUAAAUUUUACUGUUUAAAUUUCAAGCUGCUGUAAAUAAAAUGAAUUGCAAUAAAAAUUUUAACUGUUUUUUUAUUUAUCUGUUUUAUUGUGUGUUAAAUGUACACGAUAGCCUAUUAUUUA
rnacentral:lncRNA from 1 species